rnacentral:rRNA from 1 species
UACGUAGGGUGCAAGCGUUAAUCGGAAUUACUGGGCGUAAAGCGUGCGCAGGCGGUUGUGCAAGACAGAUGUGAAAUCCCCGGGCUUAACCUGGGAACUGCAUUUGUGACUGCACGGCUAGAGUGUGUCAGAGGGGGGUAGAAUUCCACGUGUAGCAGUGAAAUGCGUAGAGAUGUGGAGGAAUACCGAUGGCGAAGGCAGCCCCCUGGGAUGAUACUGACGCUCAUGCACGAAAGCGUGGGGAGCAAACAGG